UUAAUGUAACACACCUUAUUAAUAUAUCAAUAAUACUCUCUAGCUAGCCCAUGUGAUACUGAAGGUGUGUCUCAACAGAGACCAACCACACGAUACUGAAGGUGUGUCUCAACAGAAACCAACCACGUGAUACUGAAGGUGUGUCUCAACAGAAACCAACCACACGAUACUGAAGGUGUGUCUCAACAGAAACCAACCACGUGAUACUGAAGGUGUGUCUCAACA